UUAAAUAUUAUGUGUUAGUUCUCAUGCCAUUGUAAGGACAUACCUGAGACUGGGUAAUUUAUAAAGGAAAGAGGCUUAAUUGACUCAGUUCCACAGAGUUGAGGAGGCCUCAGGAAACUUAACAAUCAUGGCAGAAGGGUGAGCAAACAUGUCCUCCUUCAUAUGGUGGCAGUAAGGAGACAUGCAGAGUGAAGGCAGUGUUGGGGGAAGCUCCUUAAAACCAUCAGAUCUUGUGAGAACUCACUCACUAUCACAAGAAUAGCAAGGAGGUAACCAUCUCCAUGAUUCAACUACCUUGUACUGGGUCCCUCCCAUGACAUAUGGGGAUUAUGGGAACUAUAGUUCAAGAUGAGAUUUGGGUGGGGACACAGCCAGAUGGUAUCAUAUUAUAUCUGAGCUAUGUAAAAACAUAUACUCUUGAUUUCAUAUAAUUAAUCUAAAAAUAGAAGAGGGGGCAGAAGGACACUCAAAUUUGCUAGUUAAAGGUUGAUAUAAAUGUUAUACCUCCUCAAUAGUUUUUUCUCUAUAAUCUUUUUCCUGCUCUUGCAAACAUUCCUCACUUUAAGACUGGGAGAUGCUUUUUGCCUCAGGGAAAAGAAAGUGAAGAACUAGCUUUAGGUUAAUGAAGAAGAAAACAUUUCUGUUUUUUUUUUUUAAAGAUGGGGUUUCACCAUGAUGGCCAGGCUGGUCUUGAACUCCUGACCUCAGGUGAUCCAUCCACCUUGGCCUCCCAAAGUACUAGGAUUACAGACGUGAGCCACCGUGAAAACAUUUCUAAAGGGACGUCAACCCAGAGGGAAAACUUCCUCUGAUCUAGUGGUGCAGGGUAUGGAAGAUGUGGAGAAAGAGAUUAGACAUCAAGACCCUAGUUUUACACAUAGCUCCUUUUUCCUGUGGAAACUCAAGGGGUUAUAAGUGGUAGGAUUUAUCCAGCUUGGUUUAGGCAGACAGUAAGUGAAGGGUCCCUAGAGAACCUCUGACCUGCCCCUCAAGUGCUUACACCAGAUGUUUUGUGCAGAUAAGGGAACUUGCAUAGGGGGCUUGCCUAAACAUGACUGAAGUGGAAAAUUCCGUUGCUUAACACAUGCACAAUAAGGGAAAUAAAUCAAUACGGAGCUGGCAGUCCAAGGGCCUGCAUGAGCACUGGAAGGACAGGGUGGAGCCACCAGAAAUUCAUGCCUUAAGCCCUAGUAUUCAACUGUGAAGGGGGAAACCAGUAACCUGCUUUCAGUUCCCCUCUUUUAGUUGAGAGCUUUCAUUUAAUUAAUUCGACUUCACUGACUCUCCAAGUGUCUGCAUACCUAAUUCUUCCUGGUCGAGAGAUGAGAACCCACACCUAGCUGUGCUAAGGAGUAAAAAAUCCUGCAUCAGUAGCUGACUAGAAAAGGGAAACCCCAGUUUGUAUUGAGGAGAGAAAACACACGUAAAGGGAGAUUUAGCCUGACUUCUUGUUUUGAAAUGGAGAGAACACCACUGCUGAGUGCAUAUAGGGCUACUGUGAUGUCACGGCAGCCUAACUAGACAGUGCAGACCUCCCUUGAUAUCUUAGACAAGAGUCAAAUGUCUCCUCUUCAGCAUUGCUUUUGGGGAAGUGGAAAGUAAUUGAGUGUGACCUGCCAUGGGGUCAUCAUGAGGAAGUAGGUAGACAGGGACCUGAUAACCUCUGCCACAUGUCUGAGGGAGACAGUGGACGAGUCUUGAAGGGAUGCAAAGAUGGAGUUUCGCUGUUGUUACCCAGACUGGAGUGCAAUGGCACGAUCUCGAAUCACCGCAACCUCUGCCUUCUGGGUUCAAGCAAUUCUCCUGCCUCAGCCUCCCGAGUAGCUGGAACUACAGGAAACUGCCACUGCCUGAACCGACACAGCCUGAGCAGAAUGUUCCAGGGCACAGAGAGACACCAGCACAGCCAGUCAAGGUACGACUUCAAGGAGUGAAAAAGUUGCAUCCACAAAAACCUGUACAAGAAUGUUUAUAGCAGCUUUAUUCAUAAUCGCCAAACUGUGGAAAGAUCCAGAUGUCCCUCACUAGCCUUGAACAUGAUAUUAUUGGAGUUCAGAAAACAAUACCCCAAACUGAAGACCUCAGAAGCAGCCUUACUAGGGGGAGUCAGAGCAAGAUGGCCAAAUAGAACCCUUCAGUGAUGUUCUCUCCCCGAAGGAGCAACAGAUUGAACAACUACCCACACACGAAAGUACCUUUUCUAAGAACCCCAACAGGUGAGCAAUCACAGUACCUGGUUUUAACAUUAUAUCAAGGAGAGAGGCACUGAAGAGGAUAGGAAAGACAAUCCUGAAUUGCUGACACCACCCCUGCUCUAUUCCCUGCCAAAAGCCACAUGGCACAAAGAGAGAAAAUCUUUGCGCUCGUAGGAGAGAGAAUAAAAUGAUUGCCGGACUUUGCGUUGGAACUCUGCGGAGCUCUGUCAUAGCACAAAGAAACGCAGGGCAGAACUCAGCCAGUGCCACCAGAGGGAGCAUUUAGACCAGCGCUAUUCCGAGCACAAUUCAUCUCAGUGGUUGGAACCUGAGUUCCAGCUAGCUCCACCACUGCAGGUUAAAGUGUUCUGGGGUCUUAGGUGAUUUUGAAAGGCAGUCUAGGCCACAAGGACCGUCAUUCUUGGGGAAGUCCUGAUGCUGUGUGUGUUUACCCUCAGAGCUAAUCUACUUGCGGUGCACACAACAACCGAGUGAGACAACAUGUAGGGUGACCAAAAGAGAGUUUGUGUAAGCCUUCCCCCAACUCCACGAAGUACAGCUCACAGCUUUGGAAGAGACUUCUUCUGCUUGAGGAAAGGAGAAGAAAAAAUAUAGAUGAAUUUGUUUUGCUACUUGAAUACCAGCCCGGGAAACAUGGCAAGAUCCCCGUCUCUACAAAAAGGAAAGAAAUUUAGUUAACUGGGCAUGAUGGUUUGCAGCUGUAGUCCCAGGUACUCUGUAGGCAGAGAUGGUAAGAUAGUUUGAGUAUGGGAGUUUGAGGCUGCCAUGAACCAUGGGCACACCAUUGCACUCUAGUUUGGGUGACUAUGUGAGACUUUGUCUAAAACACACACAUACACACACACACACACACACAGGAAAGAAACAAACUUCACUCUCAGAAACUCUGAUUUGCUAAUUCUGCUAGGAAGUCAUAGAAUUCAUAUUUUAACCCUGAUGAAGAAGCCACCAACCUUCAUUUGAAUAACACUGGUCUAACAGGCUGCAUUCCACAGUAACAAGGGCGACUUAAGUUUCCUGCUCCAACUUGGAACUUCUGUUCUCCAUUUCUAAGUAAGUUCAACCUGGCACAAUACUUUGAUAGUUUUUAAUGUGAUAGCUUUAUUUGCCUCAGGAGGCCUUUCUCAGGGAAGAAACUAUAUGAAACAAUAAAUGGACCUUGUUUCUAAUACUUGCUGUGUAAUAAAUUAGUGUAACCUUAAAACAUGCCACUUUACUCUUCUGUACAUUAGUAUGUCUUAGACUAAGUUAAAUAUAUUGUGUGGGAGUUGUCACAGGUCUCCCUCCUCUCUGAGCAACCAAAGUGAGCAGGCAAUUGCUAGCACACACUCCCUCUUCACCCUGACGAGAAGCUGUUUCAUCUGGGCCUUUAUGGUACAAGAUCAACAAAAGGGCAGAGAAAACAGAAUCUGAAAGGUAGGGGAAGAAAGACACUGCAAAAGGGGUUGUAGGCUCCUUGUGGAGAGAACCAAACUGUCUUGUAGUUUUGAGACUGUCAUUUUAAAAUUGUCACCAGGAGAAGGAAAAAUGAUGAAAGAUGGAAGGAGGAAGGAAACUAGAGAAAAACUGCCUCUUCGCAAUUUUGUCCCGUAUUAAUUCUGAUGAAAAUAAAUAUAGCACAGAGAUAUAUUUCUAAUGAAGUUUUUUUUUCUUUUUCUUUUUUUGAGAUGGAUUCUCACAUUGUUGCCCAGGCUGGCGUGCAGUGGCAUGAUCUCGGCUCACUCCAACCUCUAUCUCCCAGUUCAAGCAAUUCUCUUGCUUCAGCCUCCCAAGUUGCUGGGAUUAAAGGCACUCACCACCAUGCCCAGCUAAUUUUUGUAUUUUUAGUAGUGACAGAGUUUCACCAUGCUGGUCAGGCUGGUCUCAAACUCCUGACCUCAGGUGAUCUACCCACCUCCCAAAGUGCUGGCAUUACAGGUGUGACCCACUGUGCCUGGAAUAUUUCCAAUUAAGAUUUUUUUCUAAUCUGUUAUUUCAGUCAAUUAAUCAGGGUUGAUAAUGAUUCAACACUAAAUGCCAAGCUUUCAGAAGAGGACUACUUUUUUCUGUUAAUGUAACUUAAGAUUCAAAUUAAUAUCCAGCUGAUAUUUGAAUUGGCCGCACUUUUAAGUUCUUUAGCCUUACCAGUGCCUACAUGGGCAGGGUGUGCUCAGCACAAGGGUUUUCAGAAGAGAGAAUGGGUGGAAGAUGAAAUAUUAACCUGUGCACCUAAGCACAGGGCUGAAUCCUAUCCACUGGGAGGAAGUGACAUCUUUUUUUAAAAAUUUGGCCUGGUGGUAGCCUUGAUCUUGUUUGUUUGUUUUUAAGCAUCUUUCUCUUUUUUAAAAUCUAUAUAAAUUUCAAAAGUACAAGUGCAACUUUGUAUAGUUUUAUCAUGUGUAUAUGUGCACUAUGCACAUAUUGCAUAGUGGUGGAGUCAUGGCUUUUACUGUAUCCAUCUCCCAAAUAAUAUAUAUUGUACCUACUAAGUAAUUUCUCAUCAGCCACUCUCCUACCAUCUCUCUGCCAUUCCAAGUCUCCAGUGUCUAUCAUUUCAUACUCUAUGUCAUGUGUACACAUGAUUUAGUUCCUGCUUCCAAGUGAGAAAGUAAAAUAUUUGACUUUCUGUUUCUGAAUUUUUCUACUUAAUAUAAUGGCCUCUAGUUUCCACACAUGUUGCUUCCAAGGACAUGAUUCACUGUUUUUCGUGGAUGAGUAGUAUUCCCUUGUGUAUAUACCACAUUUCCUUUAUUCAGUCAUCCGCUGAUGACCAGUUAGGUUGAUUCUAUAUCUUUGCUAUUGUCAAAUAGGGCUGAGAUAAACAUACAAGUAGCUUCAGUACUCAUGCUGGCUAUUUAUCUCCUGUGGAUAUGUAUUACAAAUAAACAAAAUGGAUACUUCUCAGAAACCAGAUAACUGAAAUACAGAAAACACUCUUUGGGGAGAUUUCCCAGUAUGGAGAUUUCCCAGAGAACUAAAAACAGAGUACCCUUUGAUUCAGCAACUCUGCUACUGGGUACCUGCCCAAAGGAAAAGCAAUCCUUAUAUCAAAAAGAAACUCUGUUCUCUUUUUCUUCUUCCUUUGGUAAUCCCCCUGUGCAUAAGUUGCAUUUCUAUAGUUGUUCUACACUUGUUAAAUAUUCUGUUCCAUGUUUUUUCAGUCGUUAUUUUCUUUGAUUUUCAGUU